rnacentral:tRNA from 1 species
AUAUACAUAAUUGACAAAUAAUUAUAAGAUUUAGAAUCUUUAUUAUGCUAUAAGCAAUUUGUUAAUA